GUUUGUCAAGUGUGUUAAAAAAUCAAUAACAUGAUUCAGUCCUUUCUUAAUUGUGCCAUCAGCCUCAGAACCAUCAAUAGCAUUGUCAAAAUAUUUGUCAUAAACUUGUCUAACGUGAAUAUGUGUCUAAUUCUGUGGCAGGAGCUCAGGUAUUGGUAUAAUCCUUACCACAAUAAUCAAAUCAAUUUCCUGCUUUCUAUUGCAGGGUAAAUGCUGGUAAUCAUGGCAAUAAGCACAACAGAUCUAAGUUAUUCUAAAAUCCAAGAUAUAAAACUAAUAGUCACAAUAUAACUCAUACCACUUUGAAAAUGAAGCAUCAAUAUAAUUCUUUCAACAUAUGGUGGGGCUGCUAGAACAAAAGAGUUCUUGAGCACCAGAUUCACCUCUGAGGGGAAAGGAAAUAACACAAAAGAAGAUAUCUCUGGCUCUGAUGAUUAUAUGGACAAAAAUGUUUUUAUACUGUCCUGCUCAGCAGUCAAAAAGAGGGGUAAAGUGGGUAUGGAUGUAACAAACAAGUUCUUUCAACUGAGCUGGUGCUGUGAGGAGAGCAACAAUCUAAGGUGGAUCUCUUUUCCUAUGGAUCUAUAAUAAAAUAGAUUUAAAAAAAAUAAAAGAACAAUACAUUCAAAAAUCCCAGAGAUAUUUAUCAGCUCUUUUGAGUCUUGAACUGUUUAGCUGAAUCCAGUGCAGUUCUGCUUCUUUUGCUAAUUAGGAAAUAGAGGAGUUAACUUCCCUACCAAAGGAUCUGUGAUAAAUGGACAUAAGAAUAUAGAGAAGUGCUGGAUAGAACUUCCAAUACAGAAUGACAUUGAUAUAAACCUGAGGAAACCAGAAAAAAUUCCUGCCUGAGGUAUGACAUGAUAAGAACUGUUUCUUCUGGCUUUUAGAGUUUGAACCACAAAUAAUUAAUUUGAAAAUAAAAUAGAUUCAUUUUCACAAGACCUGGGUUAAUUUGCACAGUUUAGAGAUUGGAUUAAUCUCUGCCUGGGCUUCAGUGCUAAAACAUUUCUAUGUUUUAUUGAUAAAAAUUAAGUGUCCUGGGAACAAUUCCAAACCAAGCACACCAAUUUGAAGACAUAUGCAUACAAACUUUUCAAAUAAAUCUACCUUACAGCUUUGUUUCUUUGGAAAAAAAAAACCAACCCAAACAACUUUCUUCAAACAAACCCUGGGCUUUGAACUAUUCCAUUUUAUUAAGGGUUAUUUGUAGUUCAUCACAUCAUCAUUGCAUUUCCUUUCUCCCAGGGCAACAGUGCCCAUCUUUUGGCUUUUCCCUGAAUCCCUGUGAGUAUUACCAUAUAUGGCAUCAUUUUACUUGUAAUUAUCCCAUCAUACUGUAAUGCUCCUUAACUCUUUGCUUCUGCACAAGGCUGAGGGCUUUCCUGUUUUCUGCAGAUAGAUUUUGGGGCUUUAACUUCCUUUUGUAAUAGACAAUAAAAAGGUUUCUCAACAUGUAAUAGAAAACACACAGAACCUCAGCUGCUUUAGGUUAAUUAGGAAAAAAAGCCUCCAAGGUCAAAAAGUAAUGAAGAAUAAUGUUUCUAGCUGAUGAAUUCAUCUGAUUUUCAACAUAUCAGAUCAAUCCUGAACAUCCAUGACAACAGACAGGUCUGAUAAACAAGUAUCCAUUUAACAUUAGUAGCCCUCACACUCUGAAGGAUGUAUCACAGCCACAGGAUGUCUGAUUUCACCUCAGUGAUGAAAUGCCAUGUGUUUGUAAAUGUACUAAUGAGGGGGAAUGGCUAGGUCAGGUCAAUGCCUCUGAAUAGCAAGAAGUUUACCAAGGGAGACCCAGGAGGAAGAGAGCACGUGAAUUUCUUAGUUCACUUUACAGGUGGAUGAAAUUCCUCCUAGAGCUAUUGAGUUGCAA